UGGGGAAUAUUGGACAAUGGGCGAAAGCCUGAUCCAGCAAUGCCGCGUGAGUGAUGAAGGCCUUAGGGUUGUAAAGCUCUUUUACCAGGGAUGAUAAUGACAGUACCUGGAGAAUAAGCUCCGGCUAACUCCGUGCCAGCAGCCGCGGUAAUACGGAGGGAGCUAGCGUUGUUCGGAUUUACUGGGCGUAAAGGGCGCGUAGGCGGCAUGACAAGUCACUUGUGAAAUCUCUGGGCUUAACCCCAGAACGGCCAAGUGAUACUGUCGCGCUAGAGUGCAGAAGGGGCAAUCGGAAUUCUUGGUGUAGCGGUGAAAUGCGUAGAUAUCAAGAGGAACACCAAAGGCGAAGGCAGCGCACUGGCCAAAAUCUGACGCUCACACACGAAAGCUAGGGUAGCGAAGAGGAUUAGAUACCCAUGUAGUCCCUGAGCGGGCUGGCAAGGCGCAU
rnacentral:rRNA from 1 species